UUUGAGUUUCCGUCAAUUCCUUUGAGUUUCUACGGGAGGCACCAGUGGGGAAUAUUGGCCAAUGGGCGAAAGCUUGUUCCAGCAAUGCCGCGUGUGUGAAGAAGGCCUGCGGGUUGUAAAGCACUUUCAGUGGGGAGGAUAAUGACGUUACCCCCAGAAGAAGCACCGGCUAAUUUUGUGCCAGCAGCCGCGGUAAUACAGAGGGUGCAAGCGUUAAUCGGAAUUACUGGGCGUAAAGCGCGCGUAGGCGGCUUGUUAAGUCGGAUGUGAAAGCCCUGGGCUCAACCUGGGAAUUGCAUUCGAUACUGGCAAGCUAGAGUAUGGUAGAGGGAAGUGGAAUUUCCGGUGUAGCGGUGAAAUGCGUCGAUAUCGGAAGGAACAUCAGUGGGAAGGCGACUUCCUGGAUCAAUACUGACGCUGAGGUGCGAAAGCGUGGGGAGCAAACAGGAUCGGAGACCCU
rnacentral:rRNA from 1 species